rnacentral:rRNA from 1 species
UCGUGACGGACGCUUCGGUUGAAGUCACGAGUGGAAAGCGGCGGACGGGUGAGUAACGCGUAGGCAACCUGCCCUUUGCAGAGGGAUAGCCUUGGGAAACCGGGAUUAAAACCUCAUAAUACCGCAGUGAGACAUCUCACAGCGGUCAAAGAUUUAUCGGCAAAGGAUGGGCCUGCGUCUGAUUAGUUAGUUGGUGGGGUAACGGCCUACCAAGGCGACGAUCAGUAGCCGACCUGAGAGGGUGAUCGGCCACAUUGGAACUGAGACACGGUCCAAACUCCUACGGGAGGCAGCAGUGGGGAAUAUUGCACAAUGGGGGAAACCCUGAUGCAGCAACGCCGCGUGAAGGAUGAAGGCCUUUGGGUCGUAAACUUCUGUUCUAAGGGAAGAUAGUGACGGUACCUUAGGAGCAAGUCCCGGCUAACUACGUGCCAGCAGCCGCGGUAAUACGUAGGGGGCAAGCGUUAUCCGGAAUUAUUGGGCGUAAAGAGUACGUAGGUGGUUUUCUAAGCACGGGGUUUAAGGCAAUGGCUUAACCAUUGUUCGCCUUGUGAACUGGAAGACUUGAGUGCAGGAGAGGAAAGCGGAAUUCCUAGUGUAGCGGUGAAAUGCGUAGAUAUUAGGAGGAACACCAGUGGCGAAGGCGGCUUUCUGGACUGUAACUGGCACUGAGGUACGAAAGCGUGGGGAGCAAACAGGAUUAGAUACCCUGGUAGUCCACGCCGUAA